GCUAGGUGUGGUGGCACACAUUUGUAGUCCCAGUUACUUGGGAGGCUGAGAUAGGAAGAUGGCUUGAGCCCAGAAGUUUGAGGUCAACCUGGGCAACAAAACAAGAUCCAGAUCUCAA
rnacentral:sRNA from 1 species